GGGGGCAUAGCUCAGUGGUAGAGCGCGUGCUUAGCAUGCACGAGGUCCUGGGUUCAACUCCCAGUACCUCCA